CCUACGGGAGGCAGCAGCAACGAAUCUUCCGCAAUGGGCGCAAGCCUGACGGAGCAAUGCCGCGUGUGGGAUGAAGUGCCUCCGGCAUGUAAACCACUGUCAGAAGAUAGAAACACUGAUCAUCUUCAAAGGAAGUGGCGACUAACUCUGUGCCAGCAGUCGCGGUAAUACAGAGGCCACAAGCGUUAGUCGGAAUUACUGGGCUUAAAGGGUGCGUAGGCUGUCUCUCAAGCGUCCUGUGAAAGCCUCCCGCUCAACGGGAGAACAGCAGGGCGAACUGGGCGACUCGAGGUUGGUAGGGGCUCACAGAACAGUCGGUGGACCGGUGAAAUGGGUAGAGAUCGACUGGAAUGCCGAUGGCGAAGGCGGUGAGCUGGGCCAAAUCUGACGCUGAGGCACGAAAGCGUGGGGAGCAAACAGGAUUAGAUACCCUGGUAGUCCACGCCGUAAACGAUGUAUGCUAGAUCGGUGCGGUUUUGACGCCGUAUCGGUCGACGUGAAAACGAUAAGCAUACCGCCUGGGGAGUACGGUCGCAAGGCUAAAACUCAAA
rnacentral:rRNA from 1 species